AGACAUUCUCUCCUCUGAAUUGGAGUGAUGGCGAUAAAGACACAAAUGGGAUCCUUCUCUCUCUCAGGGUCCCCCUGCCCUCCCCCAGCAUGGGGCCCGGCAGCCACACCUUGAAUCUGUGGGUCACUCAGCACCUAUGGCACAGUGCUAAGUACAACACCCAGCACCUUACUCAAGUCACCUUUGCCAGCGGCAUGCCUCCCAGUCCCUCCCUUGGGAGCACGCCUUGGCAAUGGCGUGACUGGGCGGUGAAGAACCUGGGGAUUGUGCAACCUUGCGAGGUUGUGUAACCACCACGGCUGCACUUUUUGCACAGUCGGCUAGAGUCUGCAGCGAGGUUCCCGUGAAGAGAAAGUAUGGGCAGAAGCUUUCUGAUUGUGAUUUACCAAGAAGCGGCACAGUCUCUGCAGGAAAUAUGUCAGCUGCCCCAUUGUCCUCUUAUUUAAAGUAGGACAGACACCAAGCUUGAGAAAACAUGAACAGGAGGACUCAGAGGCAGAAAAUGCAAGCAACCAAGUCAGUCUCAGUCAUGACUCACAAGCUCCAACUUCACUUAUGGAGUCAUCCAGUGAAAUCAAAGUGAUGGUGAGAACAGGGAGCAGCAAUGAUCAGAGGGAGCCAAAAGAGCUCUGAUGAGAGGAACCAUGUCAUUUUCUCAGCCAUUAUUUUUGGUGUCUCCCUAAAGACCAUUUACUUGGAACUUAGACAGGAGACUAAAGUCUGUGAUCUCUGGGUUUGCUUAGCUCUGUAGACAGUUGGUAUAUCACAUACAAAAUAUUACCCCACGCUCUCAUAGUGUGAUGAGUUGUUAAUAAAACCAUUCCAAAUUUUUGGUUCUCAUUCACUCUGAAUGUAGAUAGUACUGGCUGAACAUGGAUAUAUCAGCUCUGCUUAUCACUCUAAAUGUCAUCUGUCUUUAACUUUAUCCAAAACAGUUUUAUUUUGCUUCAGAGAAAGCAAUGUUCUCAAUUUCUUGAAAAUCCAAGCCAAGAAGAAUCACAGUAUGAAGAAUUAUGCUAAAUAUUUGGUCCUCAGCCUUCCUGGAGCUGUGGCAUGAAGCAUCAGUGGCCUCAAUAUGUGUUGGGUUUUCCUUGGAAUAAUGGAUAACACAUGUGCUUUCAAAAUUUUAUGUAUAUUUGAGAGUUUUGGGAUAGGAAACUGUUCAUAAUUCUGUCUCCUUAAGACAUUACAAGACGUUUUCCUGUCUUUCUAUAUUUCCACAAAGAGGAUGUGUGAGUGUAUAAAAAUUCCCUAAUAUUGUUUCUGCCUCACUCUCACCCCAUCCCCAAAUAGUUGUUUUAUUUGGUUUGCUUUCUUUCUGAAGUUUCAGUAUAGGCGACAUUUUAACAUGGUUUAAAGCUUAGAUUAAGAUUAAGGAUUUGGACAACACAGUUUGAAUUGUCAGCUAUUUCCUAACUGCAACUUUUAAUAAGGUGUAGAUUCUUCUUCUGAAAACGAGAAAAAUAAUUCAUGCUAUCUUGGCUUCCCAAAGUGCUGGGAUUGCAGUUCUAAUAAUGGAUAGCAGAGUAGGGUUGCAGUAGGAGGUGGGACUCAACUCCAGAGGCGGGGCUCGGACACCAGACCAGAUUGGGGACUAGCUAAUACAGGGCCAGGGUUGGGGCAGCUUUCCAAUCAGACACACCCACCAGUGUGCCAGGUCAGUUUACCAUCACCAUGGAAACACCGGGAGUUAUUGCCCCGUUCUGUGGCAAUGACCCAAUGACCCAAAAUCUACUACCCCUUCCCUAGAAAUUUCUGCAUAAAUUGUUCUUUAAUCUCAUGUUAUUAAAAAUAGUUAUAAAUGUGACUGCAGAACUGCCCUGAGCUGCUACUCUGCGUACAGAGAAGCUCUGUUCUGCAGGAGCAGUCACACCACCGGCACUAUAACAUUGCUGCAUUGAUAAAACUCUUUUCUUCUACCCCUGGCUUGCUCUUGAAUUUUUUCCUGGGCAAACCAAGAACCCUCAAGGGCUAAGCCCCACUUUGGGGCUCAUCUGCCCUGCAUCAGGGUGAUUGUAGUUAAGGACAGUGUAUUAUAUAUUUCAACGUAGCUAGAAGAGAGGACUUGAACUGUUCCCAGUACAUAGAAAUGAUAGAUACUCAAGGUGAUACAUGCCCCAAUAACCCUGACUUCAUCAUUAUACAUUCCAUGCACGUAACAAAAUAUCACAUGUAUCCCAUGCAUAUGUAAAAUGUUAUGUAUCAAU